AGAGUUAAAUAGUACGUGAAAUCGCUUAGAGGUAAACGAGUGGAGCCGAAAACGUUGUACGGGAUUCAGUUGUGUAUGUGAUGAUGAUUGGUUUGGUGAGAUCUCAAAAGGAAUUGCCGGAUCGAUAGUGUUUGUUGCAGACGCGAUGCACUUCCUGUACAGCAAAACUGUGACCAAUAGUGUUGUUUUUCUGUCGUGAUGGUGAAGGUGACCAUUUGCUUGCAAUUGGUUUUAUAGCUCAUUACACGGUUAAAUCUAAUGUAUUGGUGAAUGCGGUUGGUCAAUGUUGGCAAUGUGCUAUAUGUGAGGUUUGGUAGCUGACUACUUGUAGACUGUUAUCAGGUUUUGCGUGUGGCAUCGUUGUUGAUGGGUCAAUCUAAAGUCGCAGUAUAAUGUAGGUUAUCUACUCGUCCCGUCUUGAAACACGGACCAAGGAGUUUUAUAUGAUCGCGAGUCAAAGGGCCAUACGAAACCCCAGGGCGUAAUUAAUGUAAAGGUUUACUUUAGUAAGCUGAGAUGUGACCUGAUUUCCGUCAAAAGAAACAUCAGUGCAACAUCUACCCGUCUGAAGAUGUUCGCAUCUGGGCGGAGUUU
rnacentral:rRNA from 1 species